GCCGCAUUUGGUCCAUCUGUUUGAGGAGAUAUUAAUAAAAAGUGAUUUAUGAUGGUUAUAAGUAGGGAUGAAAACGGAUUGGAUACGGACGAAAAUCAUCGAUAUUACAUUUGUUUUCAUAUUUCUGUUCAGAUUCAGAUUCAAAAUCUAUACCUAUUUAUAAAAGGAGAAAAUUUCAGUCUGCCUACCUCCUAUCCGUCAUCCGUCAUGUCCGCUUGUUUGAAUUAAUCGGCGCUGGUAGCUGUAGGAGGAAAAAAAGAAUAGAAGUUUUUCUAGGGUUCCUAAUACAAAAUCUUCUAUACACAUUAAAGUAUAUUAAAAAUAAAAAAAAGUACAAGGUCCUAAACACAAAUUUGUCAGCACCGACCGCAUCAAUCGGCCCGUACAUAUACUACUCGAAGAGGAAAAAAAGAAUAGAAGUUUUUUUAGGUUCAUAAUGCAAAAUCUCCUAUAAAAAUUAAUAAAUAUAUAUUAAUUCAUAGAAAAAUCUAAAAAUUAUAAAACAAAUUUUGUUCAGCUCCACAUAUUUAGAUCCAUAUAGUAAACAAAAAACAUGAAAAAUUUUAGUAUAUAUUUUUUGCUGG
rnacentral:lncRNA from 1 species